rnacentral:rRNA from 1 species
GACGAACGCUGGCGGCGUGCUUAACACAUGCAAGUCGAGCGGUAAGGCCCUUUCGGGGGUACACGAGCGGCGAACGGGUGAGUAACACGUGGGUGACCUGCCCUCAGCUCUGGGAUAAGCCUGGGAAACCGGGUCUAAUACUGGAUAUGACUCCAUGGCGCAUGUUGUGGGGUGGAAAGCCUUGUGCGGCUGAGGAUGGGCCCGCGGCCUAUCAGCUUGUUGGUGGGGUGANGGCCUACCAAGGCGACGACGGGUAGCCGGCCUGAGAGGGCGACCGGCCACACUGGGACUGAGACACGGCCCAGACUCCUACGGGAGGCAGCAGUGGGGAAUCUUGCGCAAUGGGCGAAAGCCUGACGCAGCGACGCCGCGUGAGGGAU